rnacentral:lncRNA from 1 species
GGUUUUCAGUUCGAACAAAAUGAAAAAGAGUGAGUAGACAGGGCCACGGGUUUCUCUAUUUAAAAAUCCUAUCCCGACAUAAGGGUCGACUCCAUUUAAAAAUGAGUUGACUCCUUGCUGUAGAGAACAGUUCAAAGAAGUUUCAAAAUUAUGGAAUUUGGCUCAAAUUGAUUUGUGAUCAAAUUUAGGGUUAAGAUUGACAUUUUAGAUAAGUUGGGGCAUCAAGAAUCAAUUAAUUGGAGGCA